GUGACUUACGCCUGUAAUCCCAGCACUUUGAGAGGCUGAGGCAGGAGAAUCACUUGAACCCAGAAGGUGGAGGUUGCCAUGAGCUGAGAUCGCACCAGUGCACUCCAGCCUGGGCAAUAGAGCGAGACUCCGUCUCACACACACAAAAAAAGGCCAGGCGCGGUGGCUCACACCUAUAAUCCCAGCACUUUGGGAGGCCAAGGCAGGCAGAUCACCUGAGUUCGGGAGUUCGAGACCAGCCUGACCAAUGUGGAGAAACCCCGUCUCUACUAAAAAUGCAAAAUUAGCUGGGCAUGGUGGUGCAUGCCUGUAAUCCCAGCUACUCAGGAGGCUGAG
rnacentral:lncRNA from 10 species